UACGUAGGGUGCGAGCGUUGUCCGGAAUUACUGGGCGUAAAGAGCUCGUAGGUGGUUUGUCGCGUUGUUCGUGAAAACUCACAACUCAAUUGUGGGCGUGCGGGCGAUACGGGCAGGCUAGAGUUCGGCAGGGGAGACUGGAAUUCCUGGUGUAGCGGUGAAAUGCGCAGAUAUCAGGAGGAACACCGGUGGCGAAGGCGGGUCUCUGGGCCGAUACUGACGCUGAGGAGCGAAAGCGUGGGGAGCGAACAGG
rnacentral:rRNA from 1 species